CGGAGAGGGCGCAUGAGACAUUGCGCUUACAGCUAAGGUUGGCAGCAGGAGCGAAAACUUUUCGAAUGAGCAAUGCUUGAAAAGGUGACGAACUGUAUCAACAUCACUCUAUAGUGAUGAUUGAAAUGAGACAAAUAUAGAUGAUUUGUCGAGUAGCUAGUUCAGGGCAAGUCUGGUGCCAGCAGCCGCGGUAAUACCAGCUGAGCUAGGGAUGGGUAAUUCUGUUGCAGUAAAAACAUUCGUAGUCACUGUAUAUUUUUAACCGUCCUUAAUGGGCGGUAUCUAAAAUAAAAACAUACAUCCGCGAUUAAAUUAGGACGAUCAAUUUGCAUGGUGAAUACUAAAGCGUGGUAAAUCUGACGAUACCUUAUUCUAAAACGCAAUUUUGGAAGAAGGAAUAAACGGUAAAAAUAAGUGAGGGAAGUGGUACUAACCAGCUAGAGGUGGAAUUCAUAGAUUUGGUUAUGACCAGCAACUGCAAAGGCAUCUUCCCAACUUAUAUUUGGUGAUCAAGAAUUAAAGUGUGGGGAUCGAAGAGAAUUAGAUACCCUCGUAGUCCACACCCUAAACUAUGUCGACUAGAGAUUGGUGCACUGUUUUAUACUUUAUCAGAACCUUAGCAGAUAUGAAAGUUUUUGGACUCUGGGGGAAGUAUGGUCGCAAGGGCGAAACUUAAAGGAAUUGACGGAACGGCACCACCAGGGGUGGAGCGUGCGGCUUAAUUUGACUCAACGCGGGGAACCUUACUAGGGUACGACAUUUGGAUGCUUGACAGGAUGCUUGUUCUUUCUUAAGUAAAUGGGUGGUGGUGCAUGGCCGAUCUUAGUUGGUGGGGUGACUUGUCUGGUUAAUUUCGAUAACGAACGAGAUCCGAGCUGAUUAGUUGCGGGCUUCUAUCACGGUAGGAGUACGUUUUUAAUUGGACCAUCAGAUCAAUCUGAAGGAAGUGACGGGCUAAAUCAGGUCUGUGAUGCCCUUUGACACUCUGGGCGGCACGCGCGCUACAAUGGAUGAUAUAACGUGUAACAUGUCCGUCAGGUUAUGUGAAUCACAAAUAUUAUGUCUUGAGUGGGAUAGUUUACUGCAAUUAUAAACUUGAACUAGGAAUCCCUUGUAGGUACACUGAAGCAUAGUGUACCGAAUACGUCCCUGCCGUUUGUACACACCGCCCGUCGUUUCUUUCGACUGAUACUCAUUGUGAAUUACGGGGAGAUUUUGUCAAACCGUUGUGAAUGCUGGGUAUUGGAGAAAGAAAAAGUCGUAAAAGGGUAACC
rnacentral:rRNA from 1 species